UGUCACACAGUAGAAUUUUUUCUCCCCUGUUCCCUGCUCCUUCAGGCAGAAAUGUUUUGCAAAUGUACCAUUAUCAGGAGAGGAGUAGUUUCACUUGCCAUGUGAGCAACUUUUACUGUGCUUUGCUUCUACCUGGCAGAAACCUUCAGCUCCUGCUUUCAGUCGAUUCCAGGAAGGAGCAUGAGACUGAAGUGUGUGGGGGCAUCUUGCAUCAUGUCUCCGAGCAGAGGACUGCCUGGGGGUACAAACAGCUGACAUCCCCCAGGCAAUAUCUAACUUUGCCACUGUGAUCUGAGGCAGUAAUUCUCAAAUAGGCAGGACAAGAGAACACUUAAUUUCCUGGGAAGUCUUUCUACUGUGGAUCUCAGUUAAAGCUCUACUUUUGAACAGUGGUGAUGAAAUCACAGUAUCCCAACCUGUGCUGAAGGAAGGUUUUGUCAAGUGAUUGAGAAGAAAACCCAUCUGUUGUUCGAAUCCCAGGCAUGCAUCAGAAUAACAGGAACGGAUGGAUUUCUUGGAAACAGCCCCUUCCACUACUGGUGAACUUCAUCCAGUUUAUUUUAUUGUACACUUUGCAAGACUGUUCUAAAUUUAUCCUUAACCCAGUUUAUAUAAAUUACACUUUGUUUUCUGUUCAAAUUACGGAUGUGUUGCUACUGUGGCUGCUGCCACACUGCAGAAUUCAUACACUUUGACACUGCUUUAACUGUCAUGGUUCCAUUUUAUGAAGGCCAGGGAUU